rnacentral:rRNA from 1 species
AUAUUAAAAUGUUUAUAAAUGAGUUUUUACUAAUAUUAUUAUAUUAUUUUUUUGUUUUUUAGUAUUUUAUCUAACUAAUAUUUAUAUUUAAUAAACUGUAAAGGUAUUUUAACAAAUUUGUAUUUAAGUUUUUUUAGUACCUUUUGUAUCAGGGUAAAUUUAUUAUUAAAAUUAAUUUUACUAUCCCGAAUUUAAAGGAGUUAAAAUUUUUUGUAUUUACUUGUUGAAUUAAGUUUUAUAAAUUUUUUUUAGUAAUUAAAUGUUAGUCGUUUUUAUUAUAUCUGGUUAUUAAGGAUUUAAUUCAAUUAAUUAUUCAAUUUUGAUUAAUAAGUAUUUAUCUAAAGAAUAAAAUUUUAUUAGGGAUAAUCUUAAUAUAUUAAAUUACAAUUUUUUAUUAUUAGAGUUUAUUUACUUUUAAAUUUUGUAUUUAGUUUUUAUUAAAUUUACUUUUAUAUUUAUAAUUUUUUUUAAUUUAAUUUUUUACUUAAUUUUUAUAUAUAAUUUAUAUAUUUAAUUAAUACUGAUUUAAUUAGUAUAGUUUAAAAAUAACUUUUAAUGAAUUUGACAAUUCAAAUUAUUUCCAACUGUUUAACAAAAACAUUUCCUUUAGUUUAAAAUUGAAGGUAUAUCCUGCCCUAUGGUUAAUUCUAAAUGGCUGCAGUAUAUUGACUGUGCAAAGGUAGCAUAGUAAUUAGUCUCUUAAUUAGAGGCUGGUAUGAAUGGAUGAAUGAGAAAUAUAUUUUAUUAAUUUUAUUACUAAAACUUAAAUUUUAAGUUAAAAUGCUUAAGUAUAUUUUUGGGACGAUAAGACCCUAUAGAACUUUACAAUUAUUAUUAUAAUAAUUUUUUGUUAAUUAAAUUUCAAUAUAAUUUUAUUGUUUAGCUGGGGUGGUUAAUAAAUUUUAACUUUAUUUUUUUAAAUCAUUAUUAUAUGUAUUUUUUGAUCUUUUAAUAUGAAAUAAAGAUUAAGUUACCUUAGGGAUAACAGCGUAAUUUUAAUGGAAAGUUCAUAUUUAUAUUAAGUUUUGCGACCUCGAUGUUGAAUUAAGAAUAAAUUAAGAGGUAGAUUUCUUAAAGAUUAAGUCUGUUCGACUUUUAAUUUCUUACAUGAUUUGAGUUCAAACCGGUGUGAGCCAGGUUGGUUUCUAUCUGAUUAUAUAAAGUUUUGCUUAGUACGAAAGGACCAGUAAAAUGGAAUUUAAAUUUCUUUAUAAUUAUUUAAUAAAUA